rnacentral:rRNA from 1 species
AGGUUGCUUCGGUAACUGACCUAGCGGCGGACGGGUGAGUAAUGCUUAGGAAUCUGCCUAUUAGUGGGGGACAACAUUCCGAAAGGAAUGCUAAUACCGCAUACGUCCUACGGGGGAAAGCAGGGGAUCUUCGGACCUUGCGCUAAUAGAUGAGCCUAAGUCGGAUUAGCUAGUUGGUGGGGUAAAGGCCUACCAAGGCGACGAUCUGUAGCGGGUCUGAGAGGAUGAUCCGCCACACUGGGACUGAGACACGGCCCAGACUCCUACGGGAGGCAGCAGUGGGGAAUAUUGGACAAUGGGCGGAAGCCUGAUCCAGCCAUGCCGCGUGUGUGAAGAAGGCCUUUUGGUUGUAAAGCACUUUAAGCGAGGAGGAGGCUCCUUUAGUUAAUACCUAAAGUGAGUGGACGUUACUCGCAGAAUAAGCACCGGCUAACUCUGUGCCAGCAGCCGCGGUAAUACAGAGGGUGCGAGCGUUAAUCGGAUUUACUGGGCGUAAAGCGUGCGUAGGCGGCUUUUUAAGUCGGAUGUGAAAUCCCUGAGCUUAACUUAGGAAUUGCAUUCGAUACUGGAAAGCUAGAGUAUGGGAGAGGAUGGUAGAAUUCCAGGUGUAGCGGUGAAAUGCGUAGAGAUCUGGAGGAAUACCGAUGGCGAAAGGCAGCCAUCUGGGCCUAAUACUGACGCUGAGGUACGAAAGCAUGGGGAGCAAACAGGAUUAGAUACCCUGGUAGUCCAUGCCGUAAACGAUGUCUACUAGCCGUUGGGGCCUUUGAGGCUUUAGUGGCGCAGCU